rnacentral:rRNA from 1 species
AGUCACUGACAUUAGACUACCCCCGUAGUCCAGGGUGUAAACGCUGCAGACUUGGUGUUGGAGGCCCGUUUGGGGGCAUUCAGUGCCGGAGAGAAGUUGUUAAGUCUGCUACGUUGGGAGUACGUCCGCAAGGAUAGAAACUUAAAGGAAUUGGCGGGGGAGCACCGCAACGGGAGGAGCGUGCGGUUUAAUUGGAUUCAACACCGUAAAACUCACCAGGGAAGACUGUUACAUGAAGGCCGAGAUGAAGACUCUGCUAGAUUUUCAG